rnacentral:rRNA from 1 species
AGCGAACGCUGGCGGCAGGCCUAACACAUGCAAGUCGAACGAACUCUUCGGAGUUAGUGGCGGACGGGUGAGUAACACGUGGGAACGUGCCUUUAGGUUCGGAAUAACUCUGGGAAACUUGUGCUAAUACCGAAUGUGCCCUUCGGGGGAAAGAUUUAUCGCCUUUAGAGCGGCCCGCGUCUGAUUAGCUAGUUGGUGAGGUAAAGGCUCACCAAGGCGACGAUCAGUAGCUGGUCUGAGAGGAUGAUCAGCCACAUUGGGACUGAGACACGGCCCAAACUCCUACGGGAGGCAGCAGUGGGGAAUCUUGCGCAAUGGGCGAAAGCCUGACGCAGCCAUGCUGCGUGAAUGAUGAAGGUCUUAGGAUUGUAAAAUUCUUUCACCGGGGACGAUAAUGACGGUACCCGGAGAAGAAGCCCCGGCUAACUUCGUG